CCUACGGGUGGCAGCAGUGAGGGAUAUUGCACAAUGGAGGAAACCCUGAUGCAGCGACGCCGCGUGGGCGAAGAAGUAUUUCUGUGUGGAAAGCCCUAUCAGCAGGGAAGAAAAAAUGGAGAUACCUGAGUAAGAAGAACCGGCUAACGACGGGCGAGCAGCCACGGUAAUACGUGUGGUGCAAGCGUUAUCCGGAUUUAGUGGGUGUAAAGGGAGCGCAGGCGGUACGGGAAGCCGGAGGUGAAGGCCCGAGGCUCAACAUCGGGACUGCAUUUGGAACUGCCGGGCUGGAGAGUAGGAGAGGUAGGCGGAAUUCAUAGUGUAGCGGUGAAAUGCGUAGAUAUUAGGCGGAACACCAGUGGCGAAGGCGGCUUACCGGACGGCGACUGACGCUGAGGCUCGAAAGCGUGGGGAGCAAACAGGAUUAGAUACCCCGGUAGUC
rnacentral:rRNA from 1 species